CAGUAGCCGCGGUAAUACGGAGGGUGCAAGCGUUAAUCGGAAUUACUGGGCGUAAAGCGCACGCAGGCGGUCUGACAAGUCAGAUGUGAAAUCCCCGGGCUUAACCUGGGAACUGCAUUUGAAACUGUCAGGCUGGAGUCUUGUAGAGGGGGGUGGAAUUCCAGGUGUAGCGGUGAAAUGCGUAGAGAUCUGGAGGAAUACCGAUGGCGAAGGCAGCCAUCUGGCCUAAUACUGACGCUGAGGUACGAAAGCAUGGGGAGCAAACAGGAUUAGAUACCCCUGUAGUCCCUGUCUCUUAUAC
rnacentral:rRNA from 1 species